UACGAAGGGGGCUAGCGUUGCUCGGAAUGACUGGGCGUAAAGGGCGCGUAGGCGGUUUGUACAGUCAGGUGUGAAAUGCCCGGGCUCAACCUGGGGGCGGCACUUGAUACGUAUGGACUGGAGUGGGGAAGAGGGUCGUGGAAUUCCCAGUGUAGAGGUGAAAUUCGUAGAUAUUGGGAAGAACAUCGGUGGUGAAGGCGGCCUGCUGGGCUGUUGCUGACGCUGAGGCGCGACAGCGUGGGGAGCAAACAGG
rnacentral:rRNA from 1 species